GGGCCUCCUGACGACCGGACCCCGUCACCACCUAGAGAGAGACACCUUUAUUAGGACAAGAGGUUAACUAACCAUAACCAUAAUCCUAACCCUUCAACUAACCAUAACCCUUCACAUUACAGGUAAACUAACCCUUCACACAACAGGUUGACUAACCCUAACCCUUCACACAACAGGUUAACUAACCCUAACCCUUCACAUAACAGGUUAACUAACCCUUCACACAACAGGUAAACUAACCCUAACCCUUCACACAACAGGUUAACUAACCCUAACCCUUCACAUAACAGGUUAACUAACCCUAACCCUUCACAUAACAGGUUAACUAACCCUAACCCUUCACACAACAGGUUAACUAACCCUAACCCUUCACAUAACAGGUUAACUAACCCUUCACAUAACAGGUUAACUAACCCUAACCCUUCACACAACAGGUUAACUAACCCUAACCCUUCACACAACAGGUUAACUAACCCUAACCCUUCACAUAACAGGUUAACUAACCCUAACCCUUCACACAACAGGUUAACUAACCCUAACCCUUCACAUAACAGGUUAACUAACCCUUCACAUAACAGGUUAACUAACCCUAACCCUUCACACAACAGGUAAACUAACCCUAACCCUUCACACAACAGGUUAACUAACCCUAACCCUUCACAUAACAGGUUAACUAACCCUUCACAUAACAGGUUAACUAACCCUAACCCUUCACACAACAGGUUAACUAACCCUAACCCUUCACAUAACAGGUUAACUAACCCUAACCCUUCACAUAACAGGUUAACUAACCCUAACCCUUCACAUAACAGGUUAACUAACCCUUCACAUAACAGGUUAACUAACCCUAACCCUUCACAUAACAGGUUAACUAACCCUAACCCUUCACACAACAGGUUAACUAACCCUAACCCUUCACAUAACAGGUUAACUAACCCUAACCCUUCACAUAACAGGUUAACUAACCCUAACCCUUCACAUAACAGGUUAACUAACCCUAACCCUUCACAUAACAGGUUAACUAACCCUAACCCUUCACAUAACAGGUUAACUAACCCUAACCCUUCACAUAACAGGUUAACUAACCCUAACCCUUCACACAACAGGUUAACUAACCCUAACCCUUCACAUAACAGGUUAACUAACCCUUCACAUAACAGGUUAACUAACCCUAACCCUUCACACAACAGGUUAACUAACCCUAACCCUUCACAUAACAGGUUAACUAACCCUAACCCUUCACACAACAGGUUAACUAACCCUAACCCUUCACA